AUUGAACGCUGGCGGCAGGCUUAACACAUGCAAGUCGAGCGGUAGCACAGGGGAGCUUGCUUCCUGGGUGACGAGCGGCGGACGGGUGAGUAAUGUCUGGGAAGCUGCCUGAUGGAGGGGGAUAACUACUGGAGACGGUAGCUAAUACCGCAUAAUGUCGUAAGACCAAAGUGGGGGACCUUCGGGCCUCACGCCAUCGGAUGCGCCCAGAUGGGAUUAGCUAGUAGGUGGGGUAAUGGCUCACCUAGGCGACGAUCCCUAGCUGGUCUGGGAGGAUGACCAGCCACACUGGAACUGAGACACGGUCCAGACUCCUACGGGAGGCAGCAGUGGGGAAUAUUGCACAAUGGGCGCAAGCCUGAUGCAGCCAUGCCGCGUGUGUGAAGAAGGCCUUAGGGUUGUAAAGCACUUUCAGCGAGGAGGAAGGGAGAUGUGUUAAUAGCACAUCUCAUUGACGUUACUCGCAGAAGAAGCACCGGCUAACUCCGUGCCAGCCGCCGCCGUAAAAC
rnacentral:rRNA from 1 species